GCCUAGGUGGCUCAGUUGGUAGAGCGUCUGACUUAGGUUCAGGUCAUGAUCUCACGGUUUAUGAGUUCAAGCCCCAUGUCAGGCU
rnacentral:tRNA from 1 species